GAUGAAGAACGUAGCGAAAUGCGAUACUUGGUGUGAAUUGCAGAAUCCCGUGAACCAUCGAGUCUUUGAACGCAAGUUGCGCCUCAAGCCAUUAGGUUGAGGGCACGUCUGCCUGGGCGUCACAUAUCGUUGCCUGAUGCCAGUUUCCUCGUGAUGGGUGACUGUGCAGGGCGAAUGAUGGCUUCCCGUGAGCAUUGUUGCCUCAUGGUUGGUUGAAAAUUGAGUCCUUGGUAGGGAGCGCCGUGAUAGAUGGUGGUUGAGUGACGAACGAGACCCAAUCAUGUGAGACCCCUACCGAAUUUGGCCUUCAUGACCCACAUGCGUCUUUGGAACGCUCAUGACGAGACCUCAGGUCAGGCGGGGCUACCCGCUGGGUUUAAGCAUAUCGAUAAGCGGAGGA
rnacentral:misc_RNA from 1 species